rnacentral:lncRNA from 1 species
AGUUGCUACCAUCCAGUCUGAUACAAGCAUCUGCAUUCGAUGUCCCAAACCUUAUUGCCCUCGACUUGUCAGCAAUUUGCCUGCCCUGUGUCAUGUUACCACCCAUGAGACAUGCUCCUUGAUAAACAGUAGCAUUAAUAGAAACAGAGAGCAAAAUGGUGGUUACCAGACGCUGGGGAAUGGGAGGAUCAGGGAGAUGUCAGUCAAAGAACACAAAAUUUCAGUUAGACGGAAGGAAUAAAAUCA